GCACUGCUGAGGAGUUCCGUAGUAGGACGAAACGGCCGUCCAGUGU
rnacentral:hammerhead_ribozyme from 1 species